AGAUUGAACGCUGGCGGCAGGCCUAACACAUGCAAGUCGAGCGGUAGAGAGGUGCUUGCACCUCUUGAGAGCGGCGGACGGGUGAGUAAUGCCUAGGAAUCUGCCUAGUGGUGGGGGAUAACGUUCGGAAACGGACGCUAAUACCGCAUACGUCCUACGGGAGAAAGCGGGGGACCUUCGGGCCUCGCGCCAUUAGAUGAGCCUAGGUCGAUUAGCUAGUUGGUGAGGUAAUGGCUCACCAAGGCGACGAUCCGUAACUGGUCUGAGAGGAUGAUCAGUCACACUGGAACUGAGACACGGUCCAGACUCCGUACGGGAGCAGCAGUGGGAA
rnacentral:rRNA from 1 species